GGUGAGAUGGCCGAGCGGUCUAAGGCGCCAGACUAAGGACCAGGGCAUUCGAUGCCCACCCAGGUUAUCUGGUCCUCCGGGGCGCGAGUUCGAAUCUCGCUCUCAUCA